UCCGGAAUAGUUUGAGGAACAUAGAUGC
rnacentral:piRNA from 1 species